ACUCCUACGGGAGGCAGCAGUGGGCCAUCUUAGACAUUCGGGGCAACCCUGAUCUAGCCAUGCGGCGUGAGUGAUGAAGGCCUUAGGGUUGUAAAGCUCUUUCAGCUGGGAAGAUAAUGACGGGACCAGCAGAAGAAGCCCCGGCUUACUCCGUGCCAGCAGCCGCGGUAAU
rnacentral:rRNA from 1 species